rnacentral:rRNA from 1 species
AGAGUUUGAUCCUGGCUCAGGAUGAACGCUGGCGGCGUGCUUAACACAUGCAAGUCGAACGAUUAAACCGCCCUCGGGCGGACAUAGAGUGGCGAACGGGUGAGUAACACGUGACCAACCUGCCCCGCGCUCCGGGACAACCGCUGGAAACGGCGGCUAAUACCGGAUACUCCGGGAGGGCCCCAUGGCCCUGCCGGGAAAGCCGAGACGGCGCGGGAUGGGGUCGCGGCCCAUUAGGUAGACGGCGGGGUAACGGCCCACCGUGCCCGCGAUGGGUAGCCGGACUGAGAGGUCGACCGGCCACAUUGGGACUGAGAUACGGCCCAGACUCCUACGGGAGGCAGCAGUGGGGAAUUUUGCGCAAUGGGGGAAACCCUGACGCAGCAACGCCGCGUGCGGGACGAAGGCCCUCGGGUUGUAAACCGCUUUCAGCAGGGAAGACGAACGACGGUACCUGCAGAAGAAGCUCCGGCUAACUACGUGCCAGCAGCCGCGGUAAUACGUAGGGGGCGAGCGUUAUCCGGAUUCAUUGGGCGUAAAGCGCGCGUAGGCGGCCGCCUAAGCGGGACCUCUAACCCCGGGGCUCAACCCCGGGCCGGGUCCCGGACUGGGCGGCUCGAGUGCGGUAGAGGAGAGCGGAAUUCCCGGUGUAGCGGUGGAAUGCGCAGAUAUCGGGAAGAACACCGAUGGCGAAGGCAGCUCUCUGGGCCGUCACUGACGCUGAGGCGCGAAAGCUGGGGGAGCGAACAGGAUUAGAUACCCUGGUAGUCCCAGCCGUAAACGAUGGGCGCUAGGUGUGGGGGGGACGAUCCCUCCGUGCCGCAACCCACGCAAUUAGCGCCCCGCCUGGGGGAGACCGCCCGCAAGGGCUAAAACUCAAAGAGAUUUGACGGGGACCCCCACACACCGGUGGAACCUGGGGGUUUAUUUCGAAAGCAGCCGCAAAAAACCCUUACCAGGCCCUUGACAUCCCCCUGGAUGGCCCGUAACGGGGCCGGCCUUUCGGGGCAGGGGAGACAGGUGGUGCAUGGUUGUCGUCAGCUCGUGUCGCGAGAUGUUGGGUUAAGUCCCGCAACGAGCGCAACCCCUGCCCGCAGUAGCCAGCAUUUUAGAUGGGGACUCUGCGGGGACUGCCGGGGACAACCCGGAGGAAGGCGGGGAUGACGUCAAAUCAUCAUGCCCCUUAUGGCCUGGGCUACACACGUGCUACAAUGGCGCCGACAGAGGGAGGCGAAGCGGCGACGCGGAGCGAACCCCAAAAACGGCGUCCCAGUUCGGAUUGUAGUCUGCAACCCGACUACAUGAAGCCGGAAUCGCUAAUAAUCGCGGAUCAGAAUGCCGCGGUGAAUACGUUCCCGGGUCUUGCACACACCGCCCGUCAAG